rnacentral:rRNA from 1 species
AGAGUUUGAUCCUGGCUCAGAUUGAACGCUGGCGGCAUGCCUUACACAUGCAAGUCGAACGGCAGCACGGGAGCAAUCCUGGUGGCGAGUGGCGAACGGGUGAGUAAUACAUCGGAACAUGUCCAGUAGUGGGGGAUAGCCCGGCGAAAGCCGGAUUAAUACCGCAUACGAUCUGUGGAUGAAAGCGGGGGAUCGCAAGACCUCGCGCUAUUGGGGUGGCCGAUGGCGGAUUAGCUGGUUGGUGGGGUAAAGGCCUACCAAGGCGACGAUCCGUAGCUGGUCUGAGAGGACGACCAGCCACACUGGGACUGAGACACGGCCCAGACUCCUACGGGAGGCAGCAGUGGGGAAUUUUGGACAAUGGGGGCAACCCUGAUCCAGCAAUGCCGCGUGUGUGAAGAAGGCCUUCGGGUUGUAAAGCACUUUUGUCCGGGAAGAAAUCCCCUGCCCUAAUACGGCGGGGGGAUGACGGUACCGGAAGAAUAAGCACCGGCUAACUACGUGCCAGCAGCCGCGGUAAUACGUAGGGUGCGAGCGUUAAUCGGAAUUACUGGGCGUAAAGCGUGCGCAGGCGGUGAUGUAAGACCGAUGUGAAAUCCCCGGGCUCAACCUGGGAACUGCAUUGGUGACUGCAUCGCUGGAGUAUGGCAGAGGGGGGUGGAAUUCCACGUAGCAGUGAAAUGCGUAGAGAUGUGGAGGAACACCGAUGGCGAAGGCAGCCCCCUGGGCCAAUACUGACGCUCAUGCACGAAAGCGUAGGGAGCAAACAGGAUUAGAUACCCNNGUAGUCC